rnacentral:tRNA from 1 species
CGCGGGGUGGAGCAGCUUGGUAGCUCGUUGGGCUCAUAACCCGAAGGUCGUCGGUUCAAAUCCGACCCCCGCAACCA